rnacentral:lncRNA from 1 species
ACAUGGAAAGAGUAGGAAACCAUGGAUCAAAGCCUCGUGAAGUGUUGCUGUAAGUGGCAGACCCUAAAAUGCCCAUCCAGCUGUCCUUUAACCUGGGUCCCAGAGGCGUGAUGUUAGCAGUAGUUCUGGUGAACUCCCUUUGGGUGUGUUCCAAGCACCUGCUGAGGAGUAGCCUUCGGAAGGUGCUGGAGACUGGCCACCACAGGGGCUUCGAAGCCUCAACUUGUCUGACCUGAAGCAUGGAAGAGGGCUAGGAUUCCUGACAGCUAAGAAAUCAGGAUCUGGCCUGGCCUCAAGGUGGGAUUAAAGAUGUUUCUUCUGCUACUUUCGGUGCCUCGGGGAGGCUGCUGGCUGCCCGAUGGGUGACCGGUCCUGGCCAGGGCAGUUGUGACUGUGCUGAAUACAGUGAGAUCUCUGAGACUUUCAUUCAGAGUGCAGAGUUAGCAGAGUUAGGCUGGAUGUCACCUGAUGAAGGGCCCAUCUAAGGUCACCACGGCUCCAAGCCAACAGUGGCUGCAGAGGAAGAGAAGAGGCCUAGAGGGAGAGGCCUAGAGAGAGAGGCAGUUUGCAUGAGGUAGAGUGGCUAUGAUGGUUCCCUGGAGCUUUGGAACCUAGUCCAGCUCAGGGACCCACUGCCACAGAUCAGUGUCUGAGCUACAGUUGCUAUGGCUACAGAGUAGACUGCUCUGCUAACUUUGGGCCAGCUUCUACA